UGAGACAUGGAUGCUCGCCCUCAAUGAAAACAUGGCUGUCAGUAGCAACUUAACAGAAAUCUACACCUGCUCAAGUCUAUGAUAAGUAUACAGUAUGUUUGUCACAGUAUAUCUCUGUUAGGCAACUUUUUCCAGGUCUACUGCUGCUUUCUUUGGUGAGUUUAUAACCACUUAGGUAAAUCUGAAUGAAGGAUUUAAAUCACCCAAAUCAUAGAAUAAUACUUUUUUUUACUUACUAAGGGAGGUGGCGCUGGAUCAACAACCUCUGUGUGUCAUGACUUAAAAUUGCUGAUUUUCUCUAUGGACUUUGGUAAUGGAGACAACCACAUCAUUACCACACUCAUCAUAACUGUGACAUGGAUGGAACAUGAAGCGCAUGUGUUACGUCGUACAGCUCACAUAUGGCAACUCCCUGUUUGAUUCAGUGUCUCUGACACAAAGAAGAGACUUCAGCUCUUUGUAUUUUUCCACCUCUGCUCUGGGACAUCAGUGUUUCUGAGCGGUCUAACGUGCCAUCACAAGGUGCUGGCUACAGGCUGCGGGUGGAAAAUACAGCACUGCACUUUCAGACACUUCAUGAAACAGGAUACUCACUGGAGUCUAUUUUUGGAGGAAACCAGAGAGCCUGGACAUGGGGAGGAUAAGUAAACUCCACACAGAAAGGUCCCAGAAUGGGAAUCGAACCCAGCACCUUCUUACUGUGAGGCAACAGUGCCAAUCUACCAGUGUUAACUAAGGCACCAGAAGAAGGACUGGUGACGUAACCAGCGAGGUAGGGAAGGCUAUCGAAUCUGACAGCGCCUAACUUCCAGGACCCAGUUUAUGUGUUUAUGAUAUUGUUUUCCACUUUAUCUAACUACCCCACGGCAUUUUCCAUCGCUUCCUUGCAAGAAAAAAGUUUUGUUUGGACGACUUGCUUUUCCAGGGCAUGUGGAAGACUAGAUUAGACAAUGUCAAUAUGGACACACACAGAUCAGAUCGGAUCCCUUUACAUAUACUGUAUGUGAACAGCUGGUCAGAAGGUCAGAUUCUGAUCGGAUAUUCUUACAAAUCUGAUUUGGGCUGCAGUCUAAACAAGGCCUAAGAGUUGCUGAUAGUUGGACCUCAGUGACUUUGAAGGAACAUAGGGUUUUUAAAGAUCAGCUGUGUAUGCAAAUACUAAGAAUACUAAGUAUUAAUAAAACUUUAAAAUGGAUCCUAAAACAUACAAGGAGCCAGUGGGAGGAGGCUGGAACCAUUGAUGCAAAGAAAGCAGUUAAAAACUUUGGUGCAAACUUCAUAACAUAUUUAGACACAGGGUGUAGUGUUUCUGAUGGUCCAUCGCACAUCAUGUAUCCCAACUGUGUCACACGGCCUACAAAAUAUAUCCAGCCUACUGAGUUUUCACACUGGAAAAAUGGAAAAAGUGACAAUGAGAAAACUAUGAGAAAACAAGAAAAUAAGACAGUAAAUUAGGUCUUACAGACAGAAGUUUCUCUCCCCC